GAUGAACGCUAGCGACAGGCUUAACACAUGCAAGCUCGAGGGGCAGCGGGUAUUUAGCUUGCUAAAUAUGCCGGCGACCGGCGCACGGGUGCGUAACGCGUAUGCAACCUACCUACUAGAGGGGAAUAACCCGGCGAAAGUCGGACUAAUACCGCAUAACACAGGGGUCCCGCAUGGGAAUAUUUGUUAAAGGAGCAAUCCGCUGGUAGAUGGGCAUGCGUUCCAUUAGAUAGUUGGUGAGGUAACGGCUCACCAAGUCUGCGAUGGAUAGGGGUUCUGAGAGGAAGGUCCCCCACACUGGUACUGAGACACGGACCAGACUCCUACGGGAGGCAGCAGUGAGGAAUAUUGGUCAAUGGGCGAGAGCCUGAACCAGCCAAGUCGCGUGAAGGAUGAAGGGUCUAUGGUUCGUAAACUUCUUUUAUUGGGGAAUAACGGGUGGUACGUGUACCACAGAAGAAUGUACCCAUAUGAAUAAGCAUCGGCUAACUCCGUGCCAGCAGCCGCGGUAAUACGGAGGAUGCGAGCGUUAUCCGGAUUUAUUGGGUUUAAAGGGUGCGUAGGUGGGAUUUUAAGUCAGCGGUGAAAGUUUGUGGCUCAACCAUAAAAUUGCCGUUGAAACUGGAGUUCUUGAGUAUGUUUGAGGUAGGCGGAAUGCGUGGUGUAGCGGUGAAAUGCAUAGAUAUCACGCAGAACUCCGAUUGCGAAGGCAGCUUACUAAACCAUAACUGACACUGAAGCACGAAAGCGUGGGUAUCAAACAGGAUUAGAUACCCUGGUAGUCCACGCAGUAAACGAUGAUAACUAGGAGUUUGCGAUAGACAGUAAGCUCUACAGCGAAAGCGUUAAGUUAUCCACCUGGGGAGUACGCCGGCAACGGUGAAACUCAAAGGAAUUGACGGGGGCCCGCACAAGCGGAGGAACAUGUGGUUUAAUUCGAUGAUACGCGAGGAACCUUACCCGGGUUUGAACGCAUUUUGACCGGGGUGGAAACACCCCUUCUAGCAAUAGCAAUUUGCGAGGUGCUGCAUGGUUGUCGUCAGCUCGUGCCGUGAGGUGUCGGCUUAAGUGCCAUAACGAGCGCAACCCUUAUCGGUAGUUACCAGCAUGUAAUGAUGGGGACUCUACCGAGACUGCCAGCGUAAGCUGUGAGGAAGGUGGGGAUGACGUCAAAUCAGCACGGCCCUUACAUCCGGGGCGACACACGUGUUACAAUGGCGAGGACAAAGAGCAGCCAGCGGGUGACCGUGAGCUAAUCUCUAAACCUCGUCUCAGUUCGGAUCGAAGUCUGCAACCCGACUUCGUGAAGCUGGAUUCGCUAGUAAUCGCGCAUCAGCCAUGGCGCGGUGAAUACGUUCCCGGGCCUUGUACACACCGCCCGUCAAGCCAUGGGAGUUGGGGGUACCUAAAGUCCGUAACCGCAAGGAUCGGCCUAGGGUAAAACCGAUGACUGGGGC
rnacentral:rRNA from 1 species